GCCUUCUUGGAUCAACGGUGGAUCGUCUCGUCCAUUGUGCCUGCUUAAUCUUGGCUUAUGAGAUCGCGGGGGUUCGAAUCCCCCAGAAGGCA